rnacentral:rRNA from 1 species
UACGGGGGGGGCAAGCGUUGUUCGGAAUUACUGGGCGUAAAGAGCUCGUAGGCGGCCUGUCGCGUCGGUUGUGAAAGCCCGGGGCUCAACCCCGGGUCUGCAGUCGAUACGGGCAGGCUAGAGUUCGGUAGGGGAGAUCGGAAUUCCUGGUGUAGCGGUGAAAUGCGCAGAUAUCAGGAGGAACACCGGUGGCGAAGGCGGAUCUCUGGGCCGAUACUGACGCUGAGGAGCGAAAGCGUGGGGAGCGAACAGG